rnacentral:rRNA from 1 species
GCUAGCUACAGGCUUAACACAUGCAAGUCGAGGGGAAACGACAUCGAAAGCUUGCUUUUGAUGGGCGUCGACCGGCGCACGGGUGAGUAACGCGUAUCCAACCUGCCCACCACUUGGGGAUAACCUUGCGAAAGUAAGACUAAUACCCAAUGACGUCUCUAGAAGACAUCUGAAAGAGAUUAAAGAUUUAUCGGUGAUGGAUGGGGAUGCGUCUGAUUAGCUUGUUGGCGGGGUAACGGCCCACCAAGGCUACGAUCAGUAGGGGUUCUGAGAGGAAGGUCCCCCACAUUGGAACUGAGACACGGUCCAAACUCCUACGGGAGGCAGCAGUGAGGAAUAUUGGUCAAUGGACGAGAGUCUGAACCAGCCAAGUAGCGUGCAGGAUGACGGCCCUAUGGGUUGUAAACUGCUUUUAUAAGGGAAUAAAGUGAGUCUCGUGAGACUUUUUGCAUGUACCUUAUGAAUAAGGACCGGCUAAUUCCGUGCCAGCAGCCGCGGUAAUACGGAAGGUCCGGGCGUUAUCCGGAUUUAUUGGGUUUAAAGGGAGCGUAGGCCGGAGAUUAAGCGUGUUGUGAAAUGUAGAUGCUCAACAUCUGCACUGCAGCGCGAACUGGUUUCCUUGAGUACGCACAAAGUGGGCGGAAUUCGUGGUGUAGCGGUGAAAUGCUUAGAUAUCACGAAGAACUCCGAUUG